ACGCUAGCGACAGGCUUAACACAUGCAAGUCGAGGGGCAGCGGGGGAUAAGCUUGCUUUUCCUGCCGGCGACCGGCGCACGGGUGAGUAACACGUAUGCAACCUGCCCCUGUCAGAGGGAUAAUCCGGAGAAAUCCGGUCUAAUAUCGCAUAAAGCGUUUGCGGGGCAUCCUGCGAGCGCCAAAGGAGUAAUCCGGACAGGGAUGGGCAUGCGGCGCAUUAGCUAGUUGGGGGGGUAACGGCCCACCAAGGCGACGAUGCGUAGGGGUUCUGAGAGGAAGGUCCCCCACAUUGGUACUGAGACACGGACCAAACUCCUACGGGAGGCAGCAGUGAGGAAUAUUGGUCAAUGGGCGGAAGCCUGAACCAGCCAAGUCGCGUGAGGGAAGACGGCCCUAAGGGUUGUAAACCUCUUUUGCCGGGGAGCAAAAGCGCCGUGCGCGGUGCUAUGAGAGUACCCGGAGAAAAAGCAUCGGCUAACUCCGUGCCAGCAGCCGCGGUAAUACGGAGGAUGCGAGCGUUAUCCGGAUUUAUUGGGUUUAAAGGGUGCGUAGGCGGACAGUUAAGUCAGCGGUCAAAACGGGCGGCUCAACCGCCUGCCGCCGUUGAAACUGGCAGUCUAGAGUGGGCGAGAAGUACGCGGAAUGCGCGGUGUAGCGGUGAAAUGCAUAGAUAUUGCGCAGAACUCCGAUUGCGAAGGCAGCGUACCGGCGCCCGACUGACGCUGAGGCACGAAAGCGUGGGUAUCGAACAGGAUUAGAUACCCUGGUAGUCCACGCAGUAAACGAUGGACACUAUCUGUUCGGGUCGAUAGAGAUCUGAGUGGCACAGCGAAAGCGUUAAGUGUCCCACCUGGGGAGUACGCCGGCAACGGUGAAACUCAAAGGAAUUGACGGGGGCCCGCACAAGCGGAGGAACAUGUGGUUUAAUUCGAUGAUACGCGAGGAACCUUACCCGGGCUCAAACGCACGACGGCGGCACGUGAAAGCGUGCUUACCUACGGGACGUUGUGCGAGGUGCUGCAUGGUUGUCGUCAGCUCGUGCCGUG
rnacentral:rRNA from 1 species